AGUCGAGCGGAUGAAGGAGCUUGCUCCUGGAUUCAGCGGCGGACGGGUGAGUAAUGCCUAGGAAUCUGCCUGGUAGUGGGGGACAACGUUUCGAAAGGAACGCUAAUACCGCAUACGUCCUACGGGAGAAAGCAGGGGACCUUCGGGCCUUGCGCUAUCAGAUGAGCCUAGGUCGGAUUAGCUAGUUGGUGAGGUAAUGGCUCACCAAGGCGACGAUCCGUAACUGGUCUGAGAGGAUGAUCAGUCACACUGGAACUGAGACACGGUCCAGACUCCUACGGGAGGCAGCAGUGGGGAAUAUUGGACAAUGGGCGAAAGCCUGAUCCAGCCAUGCCGCGUGUGUGAAGAAGGUCUUCGGAUUGUAAAGCACUUUAAGUUGGGAGGAAGGGUUGUAGAUUAAUACUCUGCAAUUUUGACGUUACCGACAGAAUAAGCACCGGCUAACUCUGUGCCAGCAGCCGCGGUAAUACAGAGGGUGCAAGCGUUAAUCGGAAUUACUGGGCGUAAAGCGCGCGU
rnacentral:rRNA from 2 species